AUACCUACCUGUCAGAGGAGAUACCACGAUUCCUAAGAUUGCUUUCCCAGGGCAAGGCUUAUCCAUUGCAAGUCGGAUGUACUGACCCCUGAGACACCUCCAAAUAUGGGAAACUCUACUGCAGAAUUUGUGGUAGUGUGGGACUGUGUUCAUGCUCUCCUCUG
rfam:Chlorocebus sabaeus isolate 1994-021 chromosome 17, whole genome shotgun sequence.